ACGCACAGUAUUCUGGGAGGAGUUAGGGAGGCGGGAUUGUAGUUGCUGGCUGUUACCAGGACAACCGGAGGCGAUUGACCGUUAUCUGCGGUUUGCAGCCGUUAGCGGGAGAGGCAGAGAAGUUCAGAGGUCUUUUAGGAUGUGCUAAAGGGUCGUGAGGGCUCUCUCAAGAUUUUCCUCACAAUAGGUUAUCCAGUCGUGCCCCUUGGCCCAGCCGCUGGCCCCGGGGAUCUGAGUCGCACCCUCUUUGUUUUUCUCUGAGUCUGUCUUAAGGUGAAAUGAAGUGUGGCCCAGUGGCUCCUCAUUGUCGCUUCUCUAGUUUUCUGCCUCCUUUUAGAAAAUUGAAUUGAGAAGACAGGAUGAAGUGGACACAGCAUGUGAAGACAAUUCUUUCAAGAAGUUUGGCUGUCAAGGAAAAUAGAGAAUGUGAGUAGCCGAAGGAGAAUGACAGGCGAAAGAAAGAAAUUGGGAGCCAGACAAUACAGCCGGACAGUUUACACCUGUAUUGAUGUCCCACCUUUUUCACAAAAGAUUGAGUAUGCUUGGGGAAAAACUACACACUAUCAUAGGAGAAAAUGAUUGGAAGAGAAACUGAGGCAAAGGUAAAUGGAAAACAAAAUAAAGCCAGGAGUAUGUUAAUACCCCAAAACUUCAUACCAAAAGGUCCAUGUAAUUACUAGAGGGGUGCCACAGAUUGGGCUCUGAGGUUCCUAGCAACUAAACCAAAGGGAAAAUAUAACUUUCACAUGAUCCAUAUGGGGGGGUCUAAUGGCAUAUUAUAGAAUCCUGUUACACAUUAGCUGUAUGAAAUUGAUUGGGUAAUGUAAGCUCUUUAGACCUCUUUUCUCCAUCUCUUAAAGAGUGGGGAGAGGAAGAAGAAGACCGUUAGACGAGUUGAUCUUUUAAUACCUCUUCCACCACUGACAGUCUAUGAUCACACAGGCCAGAGAUGGCAAACUCAAAUGCCUAAAUUAGGGACUAAGAAAGUUUCAUAAGUGAGGAAAUGGACUGAAUGUGACAAAAGCAAGGAGUGAUAGAGAUUAGAAUGGUAGACUUGAUUGAGCUGUCCCAUCUAAAACUCCAGCCAGUUCUUGCAAGAAUAAGGAUUCAGUGUUGCCAGAUAUUCUGAUUUUUCAGGAGAAACAGAAAAAUCAUAUUUGCGAUAAUAUUAUACAAAACAAAACACCUCUACUGGCUAGAUACAAUUCAUGAGUCACUAAUUUUCAACCUCUGCUAUAGGUGAAAGGACCUCAACAAGAGGGAUAAUUGUUUGAAUUAAAGAAUUAAGUAUGAAAAAAGAGGAAGAAGUCAAAAAGAAUACCAAGAUUUCCCCUUGGUAAUAAGGAGGAGGUAGUAACAUUGAUACUAAAAUCAGCAGAAGGUUUGGGGAGAGAAGGUGCUUGAUUGUGAGUUUCUUGAACAUGGGGCAAACUUAUUCAUAUGUAUCCAUAGCACAUGAAUCCAGUUCAGCUGUUGGGUUUGAGAAAUCUGUGGGAUUUAUCAGGGAAAAGGGUGCAGGAAUGUAGGUCAGGAGUUUGGGGAAAGAAGAUGAAAAAGGAGUUUAAGAUGUAAGAUUCAUUCUUUCAAUAAAGUUUUAUUAAUUAUAUAUCACAAUAUGUAUUUUCAUGAGACUCUAAACUGUCUGAGGGCAGAAACCACGGUUUUUUUUAACCACUUACCCAGCACCUAGCACAAUACAGAGUCAGUGCUUAUGUAUGUUGAAUAAACAAAUGAAAAAAUACAAAACACAAUGCUUUACAGUAUAGAAGAUGCAGAGUUGAAUUAGAAAAUCUUAAGGGAACAAGAAACACUGGGGUCUACUUGAGGGUGGAGGGUGGGAGCAUGGAGAGGAGCAGAAAAAAUAUGGGGUACUAGGCUUAAUACGUGGGUGAUGAAAUAAUCUUUACAACAAACCUUCAUGCGUACCCCCAAACCUAAAAUAAAAGUUUUAAAAGAAGAAAAUCUUCUUAAAGAAGUUUAUAGAGCAGGGGCCCCAUCUCCUUAAAAAAAAAAAAAGAAAAAGCGAGUUUAUAGGUCAGAAAGUAAGACAAGUCUUACACAUAAGCAGCUAAUGCAAGUUUUAAAGUAGUGCCAUUUAAAAACAAAAAAGUACCAUGGGAUUCAGAAGGGAAAGAUCUUUUUAGAGGAAGUUAAGAAGUUAAGCUCCAUCUUUCUAGAUAGUGGCAAGUUAAGAUUAGAUCACACAGGUGUUAGGAGAGGAACUGGUCAGAAGCAGUUAAAUAGAAGAUGUAGGCCGGGUGCGGUGGCUCACACCUGUAAUCCCAGCACUUUGGGAGGCUGAGGUACAUGGAUCACUUGAGGUCAGGAAUUCGAGACCAGCCUGGCCAACAUGACAAAACUCUGUCUGUACCAAAAAUACAAAAAUUAGCCGGGUGUGGUGGUGCACACCUGUAAUCCCAGCUACAUGGGAGGUUGAGGCAAGAGAAUCACUUGAGCAGGGGAAGCAGCCACUGCCCUCCAGCCUGGGGGGCAGAGUAAGACUCCAUCUAAAAAAAAAGAAGAAGAAGAAGAAGAAGAUGUAUACCCUUCUUUUGAAAGUAAGUAUUUGAAACUGCCAAAAAAAAAAGAGUGAAUAGUGAAACAGUUUGAAGCCAGAACCUUGAGAAUCACCCACAUAUAAAGAAGGUGAGGAAGAAAAACCAACAAAGUAAACAGAGAAAAAGUCAUCAGAAAGCUAAGAGAAACAUCAGGAGAGUGGGUUUCACAGGAACUAAGAUUCCAGGUUUCAAGAAGGAACGUUCAGUCAAUAUUGUCAAAUACUACAGAGACAGCAAGCCAUCAAGGAGGGUAAAGGCCAUUGGAUUUGAUGAUUAAGGAAAUCACUGAUGACUUUAAACAACUGGCCAAUGAAUAUAAGAAGAGGAGCUUUAAAAAGCAGUAGAAUUGAGAGGCUUGUUGAUUUGUUUAGGGAGGUAGGGAAUUGGGUUCCUUAGGAGCAGGGGGAAAAAAUAGGCAAGAUUAAGCUGCAAAACAGGACAAAUUUAUGAAGCAAGGUUUUGGAGAAUCUAAGUAGUAAUGAGAUCAAGAAAUGAAGGAAGAGUAACAUCAAGAAUAAGCAUUAUAAUUCUAACAAAUAUUGUUCAAUUACAAGUAACUUUUUAAUGUCUAUCAUCAUGUUUUCCUGCCCAGUGGCCUGGUUUCUUUUCACCUUUAGCCCUAAAAUAAAUUCAUAAUCUAAAAAAUAGUAUUAGAACUUCAACUUAGUAAUAUUUCCUAAUGUUGCUUUUAAAUCCUCUUUUUCUAAACAGGUAUUAUCAGCAGGGCGUGGUGGCUCACACCUGUAAUCCCAGCACUUUGGGAGGCCAAGGCAGGCAGAUCAGCUUAGGUCAGGAGUUCAAGACCAGCCUGGCCAACAUGGUAAAACCCUGUCUCUACUAAAAAUACAAAAAUUAGCUGAGUGUGAUGAUGGGCGCCUGUAAUCUCAGCUACUCAGGAGGCUGAGGCAGGAGAAUUGCUUGAACCCAGGAGGCAGAGGUUGCAGUAAGCCAAGAUCGCACCUCUGCACUCCAGCCUGGGCGACAGAGCGAGACUCCAUCUAAUAAAUAAAUAAAUAGGUAUUAUGAUGUAUAAUAAAUAAAUAAAUAGGUAUUAUGGUGUAUAAUUCCUGAUUUUUUGGUUGCUCCAUGUCCCUUUCAGGAAACCACCACUCACCAGCCUUAGCUGGUUCAAGUGGGACUGAUUCCCAACUACCCACCCUGCCCCCAUUCCUACACUUGAUUCAGACCUGACCAAUGAGAAACAUCAUUGGUACUUUUGCUGGCACUAUUUAUUUAAUUUUUGUUUUGUUUUGUUUUGUUUUGUUUGAGACGGAGUUUCACUCUUGUUGCCGAGGCUGGAGUGCAAUGGCGCAAUCUCGGCUCACCGCAAUCUCAGGUCACCGCAACCUCCGCCUCCCAGGUUCAAGUGAUUCUCCUGCCUCAGCCUCCCAAGUAGCUGAGAUUAUAGGCAUGUGCCACCACACCCAGCUAAUUUUUUAUUUUUAGUAAAGACGGGGUUAAUCCAUGUUGGUCAGGCUGGUCUGGAACUCCCGACCUCAGGUGAUCCACCCACCUCAGCCUCCCAAAGUGCUGGGAUUACAGGCGUGAGCCACCGCACCCGGCCCGCUGACACUAUUUUAAAAAAAAAAAGCUUCUCUCCCUCUGAUGUUAUACUGCAGGUGCUAAAGACCAUACAGACACAGAGCAGACAGGCCACCUUUGCUACCACAUGGAGGUUUGUCUAAUAUUGAGGCUAAAGAAGCUGAGCUGGAAGACAGAGAGACCAAAUCCUGAUGACAUUGUUUGAACCCGGAGAUCCGGACAUGCCUGAAGACUAGUUUUACCACUGGACUUAUCUGUUAAAUGAGCCAAUAAACUCUCUUUUAUACUUAA
rnacentral:lncRNA from 1 species